UUCCCACCGGAUGCUCUGGGAUGAUGGUGUUGAAUGCAGAGCUGAAGUCGAUGAACAGCAUCCGCACAUGGGUGUUGCUCUCGUCCAGGUGGGAGAGG